UUCAGCAGUCCCAAAGCGACAUUCUAAAUUCUACUGGAUUUGGAGGCCAAUUCCGGACCUUUCAGCAGCCCCAAAGCGACAUUCUCGAUUUCACCCGAUUCGGAGGCUUAACUCGCUGGAAAUUUCCUUUUGGAGAGGUACGGAAUUGCCAAAAUCCAGCGAAUUUGGCCUCGAAUCCGAAUUCCGGGAGCCAAAAACGUGGCCAAAGAGAUUCAUUACUGCUAUUCUUAUAGUCAAUCAUACAAAUUUUGUUUAUGUCAUGGUUGUAGCAAAUUUUAUAGCUGAGAGACUGACCUCUGGGAUUGGAGGCAGAGAGUGGUGAAGCAGGAAGGGCAGCUGAGGACGGCGUCGGAGCGGCGGUUCCCUCG
rnacentral:lncRNA from 1 species